rnacentral:tRNA from 1 species
UCCCUAUUAGCUCAGUUGGUAGAGAAUCUGCCUGCAAUGCAGGAGACCCGGGUUCGAUUCCUGGGUCAGGAA